UGGGGAAUUUUGGACAAUGGGCGAAAGCCUGAUCCAGCAAUGCCGCGUGUGUGAAGAAGGCCUUCGGGUUGUAAAGCACUUUUGUCCGGAAAGAAAUGGCUCUGGUUAAUACCUGGGGUCGAUGACGGUACCGGAAGAAUAAGGACCGGCUAACUACGUGCCAGCAGCCGCGGUAAUACGUAGGGUCCAAGCGUUAAUCGGAAUUACUGGGCGUAAAGCGUGCGCAGGCGGUUGUGCAAGACCGAUGUGAAAUCCCCGAGCUUAACUUGGGAAUUGCAUUGGUGACUGCACGGCUAGAGUGUGUCAGAGGGGGGUAGAAUUCCACGUGUAGCAGUGAAAUGCGUAGAGAUGUGGAGGAAUACCGAUGGGCGAAGGCAGCCCCCUGGGAUAACACUGACGCUCAUGCACGAAAGCGUGGGGAGCAAACAGGAUUAGAUACCCUGGUAGUCCACGCCCUAAACGAUGUCAACUAGUUGUUGGGGAUUCAUUUCCUUAGUAACGUAGCUAACGCGUGAAGUUGACCGCCUGGGGAGUACGGUCGCAAGAUUAAAAGCUC
rnacentral:rRNA from 1 species